GUUCUAUGGCAUCUCCUUACCAGACUGAUGGGGUAAAGUUUCCAUCUUCCCCACCUGCCCCCCACCUACACACCCACACCCACAUCACACAUCCUGCUUCCACCUGCUCUUUGCCCAGAUUAAGAUUAGCCCAUCCUCCCUCAUUCCUCCACACCCUCUGCCUCUGAUCCUCCCAGUGUCCCUGGCCCGUCCAGCCUCCCCACCCUAUACAAAUACACCUGAAGUUAGACGGAGCCUCAGGCUUACUCCCGCUCCUUGCUCUGUGCUCUCAGGUGUUCCUUUUGUCACUCCCUGUGCUUGCUGUAUCAGGAUGGAGUCAGGUCCGAAGGGGCACUGCCAUGGUGGUGGCCAUGGCCCGGGGCCCUGUUGUGGGGAAAGGCACCCCCCUGGCCAUGGCCCUGGGCACUGUCCUGGGGGGAGCCACUGCCCAGGGCCCUGUGGGCACCCCCCUGGCCAUGGCCCAGGGCACUGUCCUGGGGGAAGCCACCCCCCAAGGCCCUGUGGGCACCCCCCUGGCCAUGACCCAGGGCACUGUCCUGGGGGAAGCCACCCCCCAGGGCCCUGUGGGCCCCAACCUGGUCCACCUCACUAAGGAAGCAGAAGAAAGAGGAUACAAGAAUGGGGAGUGUGAGUGGGUUGCCCUGCUGACCUGGCAUGGAGCCUGAACCAGAAUCUCCUCUUUCUAAUAAACAGCCUCCCAGAAGCCAUGUUUUACUCUUAAA